UACGGGGGGAGCAAGCGUUGUUCGGAUUUACUGGGCGUAAAGGGCGCGUAGGCGGUCAGCACAAGUCAGUUGUGAAAUCUCCGGGCUUAACUCGGAAAGGUCAACUGAUACUGUGCGACUAGAGUGCAGAAGGGGCAACUGGAAUUCUCGGUGUAGCGGUGAAAUGCGUAGAUAUCGAGAGGAACACCUGCGGCGAAGGCGGGUUGCUGGGCUGACACUGACGCUGAUGCGCGAAAGCCAGGGGAGCAAACAGG
rnacentral:rRNA from 1 species